GCCCUGGUAGCACAGUGGUUAAGCACUUGCCUGCUAACUGAAAGGUCAGUGGUUCAAACCCACCCAGGGCU
rnacentral:tRNA from 1 species